rnacentral:rRNA from 1 species
UACGUAGGGGGCAAGCGUUGUCCGGAAUCAUUGGGCGUAAAGAGCGCGUAGGCGGUCCGGUAAGUCCGCUCUGAAAGUCCGGGGCUCAACCCCGGGAGGCGGGCGGAUACUGUCGGGCUAGAGUCCGGAAGAGGCGAGUGGAAUUCCUGGUGUAGCGGUGAAAUGCGCAGAUAUCAGGAGGAACACCUGUGGUGUAGACAGCUUACUGGACCAUUUCUGACGCUGAGACACGAAAGCGUGGGUAGCAAACAGG